rnacentral:rRNA from 1 species
GAUGAACGCUGGCGGCGUGCCUAAUACAUGCAAGUCGAGCGAACAGACGAGGAGCUUGCUCCUCUGACGUUAGCGGCGGACGGGUGAGUAACACGUGGAUAACCUACCUAUAAGACUGGGAUAACUUCGGGAAACCGGAGCUAAUACCGGAUAAUAUAUUGAACCGCAUGGUUCAAUAGUGAAAGACGGUUUUGCUGUCACUUAUAGAUGGAUCCGCGCCGCAUUAGCUAGUUGGUAGGGUAACGGCUUACCAAGGCAACGAUGCGUAGCCGACCUGAGAGGGUGAUCGGCCACCCUGGAACUGAGACACGGUCCAGACUCCUACGGGAGGCAGCAGUAGGGAAUCUUCCGCAAUGGGCGAAAGCCUGACGGAGCAACGCCGCGUGAGUGAUGAAGGUCUUCGGAUCGUAAAACUCUGUUAUUAGGGAAGAACAAAUGUGUAAGUAACUAUGCACGUCUUGACGGUACCUAAUCAGAAAGCCACGGCUAACUACGUG